GCUGAGAGGAUCCCUCCUUGUCCUGCUGGCCUCCCCGCAGUCCGAAAAACCACACGGGGGUCCCGCUUCAGAGCCAGUCCCUGCCAGUCACCGUCUGCCCAAAUCCCCUCCCGGGCCCAGGGGCGCACGAGCAGCCCUGCCCAAGAGCCACCAACCCCACUCCGCCGAACCCGCCCCGGUGGGCUCAGCUCCGGCCGGAGAGAAGUGCUCGGGAGCUGGGCUGCCCUUCUCGCUCCCCUCAGAGCCGUUCUGGCUUCGGGGGAGCUCAGGGCUGAUCCUUGAGGGGGGCAAGCGGCCUCCUUCUACCCAAAGCGCAGGUCGUGUGGCAGCAGGGACAGCCCCAGUCCCUCCGGCAGGGAUGUCUCUCCUCCAGCAGGCCCAGGGAUGCGGCCGCGGCGGCUGUGGCAGUGAGUAAGCUCCCCCCCUUCCCUGUCCUACGCAGGCUGGCCUUGAACUUGACCCUGGCCUUGGCGCAUCCAGCCCGCAGCCCCUCUCCACCCGCCUCCCUCGUGCCCUGACCCCGGCCCGGCCCUGCCACGCUUAAGGGAGAGCGGUAAUUCAUCGGGUACAGGGGUUGGGGUUUUUUUAGGGGGUAGGGCAGCCAAGAUCCGCCUCACAGCCUUGAGCGCGGGUGGCCCGGGCUCAGAGACCACUGGCCCCGAUGUCCUCCUCUGCUCCUCUCUCCUUUGUCCACCUCGCCACCCUCACCCCCAAACCCCUACCUCCCCCCACUUUUGUCUCCCACACUGAAACUGAGCUUGUCAAACCUCCCUGCCCUGGCUCUGAAAACAACCUAGGAACCAAUCUGGAGGAGGCCUGAGGCUUCUCCGGCAGUCCUGACCCUGCCCUGGCACCCCACAAUCCCCUCAUGCCCAGCCACAGCGGGAGGGUGCCCCGGCCGGUGGCCCGCACGCCCCGACGACUCUGCCCCGGCGGCUCCCGGGUCGCCUCGGCCCCACGGUCUCCGCCGCCGGUGAGCAGUGGGAGGCACGGCGUUGCCCCGCUGUCGGCACCCCGUGCCCAGCUGUGGCAGCCCUACUUGGCCGGCUCUCCUGCUGCGGUGUGAUUCUUCCUUUAUACCGUGAAAAACAGCAUGGAGGCGUGGGUUUAAUUUUUAUUGUUAUUAUUAAUAAUGAAUUUCUCUCCUAACUCUUCCUGCGGACCCCCUGAAAAGACGGAUUGAUUUCCCUGGGAAUUACUCUCUCCUCUCAAGACAAAAAAUUUGAGUGUCCGUCCAUAAAACAGACUGUGCUUUGCCCCCCGCAGCCGCAAUUGGAGGGCAGCUCAGGGCUCUGCCUUCACCUGCCCCCGCUCUGUUUCACCUGGUCUGACUGCUCUAGUGGCUUUGGGUUGUAGCCGGUGGUGGCAGAAAAAACCGAACCCAAACCCAAAGGUAAACCAACCUUCCAACAAACAAACAGACAGGACACCAGCCCACACCGAAAGAGAAUAAAAUGCAGGAGUUCUCUCCUGAACCCGAGCGUGGAACGGCUGCUGAGCCUGGCGAUGCCGCUGGCGCUGCCGGUGCCGGCGGGGCUCCGCAGCGGGCACAGGGCUGCCCCUGCACGGCCAACCCCCCGCCGCCGGUGCCGGGGGGCAGCAGCCCGGGCCGCAGCCGCUCCGUUUGGCUCUGGCCAGACCUCCCCAGACCCGUAUCAGCCUUUUAAGUUUCCCCUUUGUUUUCAGAAACUCGUACACAUUUCCUGCCCGCUAUGAAGACAUAGCAGGCUCCCCCAAACCUCUCCCCAGCCGCAAGUGCACGCUAGACGUGCUCCCGGGCACAGCGAGGUUUUGGGUUUUUUUCCCUGUUGUUUUUUUGGUGUUUUCCUCUUCUCCCCGAGCCAGACGACCGGGGACGGAGCUGCAUAUUAGCAGUAGAGCAAGCAAGAACUAUUGUCCCACCCUGCAGGGCACGGUGCCCCCCUCUGUCCCAAAGUGCAAGUUUUCCCCAGUGCUUGGGGUUUCCUCUUUUUUAUUUCUUUUUCUUUUAAUUUUUAAAAAUUCAUUUUCUGGACGGUUUCUCUGUCUUUAAUACUUGAGGGGGAAAGAAAAGAAGAAAAGAGAAGAAGAAGGAGAAGGACAAGAAGACCGGGUGAGGGAGAACCUUCGCUAGAGGUUUAGUGUCUUUAAUAAAUACUUCAAAGUGGCUGCCUAA